ACGGCAAAAAAGCGAAAGUGACGGCAAAGAAUGAACAACAACAAUGAAGUCAACACCCAAGUGCAGAUCAACUACCCACGAAGAAGUAUUACAUUCUGAGACACACAAAAAUCUUCCUACAGAGAACAAGAUAAUUGAUAUUAUCUGAAAAAAACGAAGAACCAUAAAAGAAAAAUCCAGGAGUAUAGACUGUUAUAGUCUAAAA